rnacentral:rRNA from 1 species
CCGUAACCCACUCAGAGGGGGAGUAACAACUUGGAAACAGGUGCUAAUACCGCAUAACAGUUUAUGCCGCAUGGCAUAAGAGUGAAAGGCGCUUUCGGGUGUCGCUGAUGGAUGGACCCGCGGUGCAUUAGCUAGUUGGUGAGGUAACGGCUCACCAAGGCCACGAUGCAUAGCCGACCUGAGAGGGUGAUCGGCCACACUGGGACUGAGACACGGCCCAG